rnacentral:rRNA from 1 species
GACGGAGGAUGCAAGUGUUAUCCGGAAUUAUUGGGCGUAAAGCGUCUUUAGGUUGCCUAACAAGUCUGUUGUUAAAGGUUAAAGCUUAACUUUAAAACUGCAGCAGAAACUGCUAGGCUUGAGUACAGUCGAAGUAGAGGGAAUUUCCAGUGAAGCGGUGAAAUGCGUAGAUAUUGGAAGGAACACCAAUGGCGAAAGCACUCUACUAGACUUUUACUGACACUCAGAGACGAAAGCUAGGGUAGCAAAUGGGAUUAGAUACCCCAGUAGUCCUAGCCGUAAACGAUGGAUACUAGAUGUUGUAUAUCUCAGUAUCGUAGCUAACGCGUUAAGUAUCCCGCCUGGGGAGUACGCUCGCAAGGGUG